GUGGCGUUUUUUACACGUGGCGAAUUAUGAUCCAAAAGACAAGUUAUUCUGUUAAUCCCUCUCCACUGUUCUCCUUAAUUAUGCCGCCUCCUACUAUGAAACCCUAAAUUUUUGAUUCACUAUUGAGCAUCCCUGCCCAUCCUUAUGAAAACCUUAUCGCUGACGUGUAUUUUCUUUCACCCACUAUAAACAAUUCCAUCGCCAGAAGCUUCAACCAUGAUAUCAGCAUUUAGGGCUUUCCAUUAUGGCAGUGCAUUUGGGGAACAUCAUAAAGUUGAAGACAUAAGACGAAGAGGUUAAAUCUGGUGGAGAAGAUAGAAUGUUGUGUUGGGAAGAAGAAUCAGCAAAGAAAGGGUAAAAAAUGCAAUGUGGCAAGUAUCAAGAUUAGAGGUGGUGACUUUGAUUGGUUAUCGAUCUGUAGUCCGGGUUUUUGAUUUCUUAUAGAAAGAAACUAUUUCCUAUUAAUAAGUUUUAUCAUUCAAAGGAAAAAAAUAGGUGGUACGUGCACUUUGAAAAUUAGAUAUUGGAGCAUUGUUUUCUUAAUAAUUUGUUUAAUAAUUUACCUGUUAUAUUUGUUAUCU